GGAUGUGAGGGCAAUCUGGCUGCGACAUGUGUCACGCCAUUGAUCGCCAGGGUUGAUUCGGCUGAUGUGGCUGGCUAGGCGGGUGUCCGCUUCCUCCCUCCGCGCUCCAUGUGUGUCCCUCCCGAAGCUGCGCGCUCGGUUGAAGAGGACGACCAUCCCCGCUAGAGGAGGACCGGUCUUCGGUCAAGGGUAUACAAGUAGCUGCCCUCCCCUGCUAGAACCUGCAAACAAGCUCUCAAGGUCCACAAUGGUUCUCUUCCCAAAUGGCCACAGUAGUCAGGCUGAAACAUUGUGUUGUGGGAUGGGGUGUCCAACAUCCCUGCGUCA
ensembl:misc_RNA 7SK 7SK RNA